GACGAACGCUGGCGGCGUGCUUAACACAUGCAAGUCGAACGGCAAGGCCCUGCUUUCGUGGGGUGACCGAGUGGCGAACGGGUGAGUAACACGUAAGCAACCUGCCCUUGUCUUUGGGAUAACUUCAGGUAACUGGGGCUAAUACCGGAUAGGAGCUCCCGCAGCAGGGUGGGGGUUGGAAAGUUGCGGCGGUCGGGGUUGGACUCGCGGCUGACCAGCUCGUUGGUGGGGUAGUGGCGUACCAAUGCUUUGACGGGUAGGCGACCCGAGAAGGUGACCAGCCACCAUAGGCCUGCGAUACGGCACAGAGUCCAACAGUAGACAACAGUCGGGAAUAUUACACAAUAAACGGAGGCCUGAUACAACAACCCCGCGUGCGGGAAGCCGGCCUUCGGGUAGUAAACCGCUUUCGCCUGUUACGCAGCUGGAUUGACGGUAAUGAAUAAAGAAGCACCGGCUAACUACGUG
rnacentral:rRNA from 1 species